GUGAUUAAAUCGAGCGUGUCUUCAUUGACCGCUCACCCUUCUCACCAUCCACAAUACACCUGUGCACUGUUGUAGCCUGAGCCGGUUUUCCGGUCCAGGUUAUCAUUUCAUACAAACUCUAGUCUUAUGAAUGUAAACGUUUUAAUAACAUAAUA
rnacentral:misc_RNA from 1 species